rnacentral:miRNA from 5 species
CUCCAGAGGGAUGCACUUUCU